GGACCAUCCUCCAAGGCUAAAUACUCCUGACUGACCGAUAGUGAACCAGUACCGUGAGGGAAAGGCGAAAAGAACCCCGGCGAGGGGAGUGAAAAAGAACCUGAAACCGUGUACGUACAAGCAGUGGGAGCCUCUUAAUGGGGUGACUGCGUACCUUUUGUAUAAUGGGUCAGCGACUUAUAUUCUGUAGCAAGGUUAACCGAAUAGGGGAGCCGAAGGGAAACCGAGUCUUAACUGGGCGUUAAGUUGCAGGGUAUAGACCCGAAACCCGGUGAUCUAGCCAUGGGCAGGUUGAAGGUUGGGUAACACUAACUGGAGGACCGAACCGACUAAUGUUGAAAAAUUAGCGGAUGACUUGUGGCUGGGGGUGAAAGGCCAAUCAAACCGGGAGAUAGCUGGUUCUCCCCGAAAGCUAUUUAGGUAGCGCCUCGUGAAUUCAUCUCCGGGGGUAGAGCACUGUUUCGGCAAGGGGGUCAUCCCGACUUACCAACCCGAUGCAAACUGCGAAUACCGGAGAAUGUUAUCACGGGAGACACACGGCGGGUGCUAACGUCCGUCGUGAAGAGGGAAACAACCCAUACCGCCAGCUAAGGUCCCAAAGUCAUGGUUAAGUGGGAAACGAUGUGGGAAGGCCCAGACAGCCAGGAUGUUGGCUUAGAAGCAGCCAUCAUUUAAAGAAAGCGUAAUAGCUCACUGGUCGAGUCGGCCUGCGCGGAAGAUGUAACGGGGCUAAACCAUGCACCGAAGCUGCGGCAGCGACGCUUAUGCGUUGUUGGGUAGGGGAGCGUUCUGUAAGCCUG
rnacentral:rRNA from 1 species